AGUAUCAGCGAAUGUCAAUCUUGUUGUUCAUCGUGUUGCACCCCUUCACCCUGUUCACCCACUGUUAUAUGCAGACCAUCGUGUCCCCCUCGAUGCCCUCCCAAACCAACUAGAACAACGUGCCCUAUAGCUGUUCACCUUGCUAGAGGACCAUUCUUGAGGCAGCGUGAUAACACAGUGGAUAUUAUAAUUUUGGGAAUACAUUGAACGAAGCAUCAUCGAACGUGGACUCGAAAGAACUAAUUAAAGGAACCCUGAUUGAGGAACAACGACUACGACAAAGCGCUUAAGAUUCGAAUCAAAUACCCAAUUAUCGUUUAUUUCACGAAUUAGUCACAUAAUCCUGAUUAAGACUUGAUACCGGAAUCGAUUUAACACGAACGUGCCCCGAUACUAAAUUUGGACAACAUUCUAAUCAGAGUACUCUACUUAGUCAACGAUCGAAUUACGACCAAUUAAUUAUUGAAGAAGUGACCCCCACCUUGAUUGGACUUACCUGAAUUGACGAAUUACCGAAAUGACAAAUUUAUUUUAUGUAAAUACGAUGGAUGUAUUCGACAUUUUUUUGUCACUGUCAAAUUUUUUCACUUCAUACCCGAAUUCUGAUUUGAUGGAGCUGCCUUUACUUUGCGCUGGUACAUAUUUUCCCCCCCUGAAAAUAUGUACGAUUGCAAAGUAAGAUGGUACGAGGUGAAGUUUCCAUUUAAAUAAAAAAAAAAUAGCACAAGCAUACCGAUCGAACGUGAUUACGAUGAAUUUCUACAUUUCAAUAUGUUGCUCGCAAUAGAAAGCAGGUACCAUUCAAUUUUUUUUUAGUGAUUUUUUUUAUGAAUCAAGUCACGUUUUCAAGAUUUUGGUACGAUUGCGGCAACGAAAUGACUGAUUUUGUCGUUCACGUUUGAGAUAAAAUUUCAAAUUUUAAAUAUUUAAUGAACAGUACCAUUGACAGUGACAAAUUGAAGUUGCAACAGGGCUAGGAAUC